rnacentral:rRNA from 1 species
ACAUUGAGCGCUGAUUUUUCGAACGCACAUUGCGGCCUCGGUUUCUACCCGGGGCCUCGCCUGUCUGAGGGUCGG